CAGGCAGCAUUUAUGUGUGCAUAAUUCCAUCAACCAUAAUAUUAUUAUUGUUGAAAUAUUUAACAACUUUAUUCGUUAUGUUCCUGGCUAUAUUCUCAUUGACGCGAGCUUCAUUCGUGGAUAACACUGAUGAACCUUGCAUGCCAUCAGUAUGUAACAGUAGCUGUCGUCGAAUGGGAUGGGAGCUGGGAUACUGCGUAUCUGACAGAACCUGUGGCUGCACGGGAACUCCACCAAAGAAAUGAA